CUUUCUUUGCAAAACAAGAUUAAGAACUUGGGAGCAUCGCCAUGGCACCUGUAGAAGGUAUAGAACAUUAGGAUGUCACAGAGACCCAGGAAAACACCUGAACUGAAGCUUGUAACGUUUAGAGGAAAGGCUUCAACACAACAAAAGAGUGAUGACUCCGGCUGAAGCUUUGAUUCUGCAAAUGUUCAAACGGAAAAAACCAUCCAGGUUUGGAAGCAAUGUGUAAAGUCAAAUCUAUUCAUAUAAAAUGAGAACUUCUCUGAA